rnacentral:rRNA from 1 species
AGUGAACGCUGGCGGCGUGCUUAACACAUGCAAGUCGAACGAGAACGGGUUAUAGCUUGCUAUAAUUGUCAGCUAAGUGGCGCACGGGUGAGUAAUGUAUAGGUAAUAUGCCUCUUACUAAGGGAUAACAAAUGGAAACGUUUGCUAAUACCUUAUACUCCUUAUUAACAGAAGUUAAUAAGGGAAAGAUUUAUUGGUAAGAGAUUAGCCUGUAUUGUAUCAGUUAGUUGGUGGGGUAAUGGCUUACCAAGACUAUGACACAUAACUGGUUUGAGAGGAUGAUCAGUCACACUGGAACUGAGACACGGUCCAGACUCCUACGGGAGGCAGCAGUGGUGAAUAUUGCACAAUGGACGAAAGUCUGAUGCAGCAACGCCGCGUGGAGGAUGUCACAUUUCGGUGCGUAAACUCCUUUUAUAUGAGAAGAUAAUGACGGUAUUAUAUGAAUAAGCACCGGCUAACUCCGUGCCAGCCGCCGCGGUAA